rnacentral:rRNA from 1 species
UACGUAGGUGGCAAGCGUUGUCCGGAAUUAUUGGGCGUAAAGAGCUCGUAGGCGGUCUGUCGCGUCUGCUGUGAAAACUCGGGGCUUAACCCCGGGCCUGCAGUGGGUACGGGCAGACUAGAGUGCGGUAGGGGAGACUGGAAUUCCUGGUGUAGCGGUGAAAUGUGCAGAUAUCAGGAGGAACACCAGUAGCGAAGGCGGCACUCUGGGCCGGUACUGACGCUGAGGAGCGAAAGCGUGGGGAGCGAACAGG